rnacentral:rRNA from 1 species
GGGUUGUGAGGUUAAGCGACUAAGCGUACACGGUGGAUGCCCUGGCAGUCAGAGGCGAUGAAGGACGUGCUAAUCUGCGAAAAGCGUCGGUAAGGUGAUAUGAACCGUUAUAACCGGCGAUGUCCGAAUGGGGAAACCCAGUGCAAUUCGUUGCACUAUCGUUAACUGAAUACAUAGGUUAACGAGGCGAACCGGGGGAACUGAAACAUCUAAGUACCCCGAGGAAAAGAAAUCAACCGAGAUUCCCCCAGUAGCGGCGAGCGAACGGGGAGCAGCCCAGAGUCUGAAUCAGCUUGUGUGUUAGUGGAACGGUCUGGAAAGUCCGACGGUACAGGGUGAUAGUCCCGUACACCAAAAUGCACAGGCUGUGAACUCGAAGAGUAGGGCGGGACACGUGGUAUCCUGUCUGAAUAUGGGGGGACCAUCCUCCAAGGCUAAAUACUCCUGACUGACCGAUAGUGAACCAGUACCGUGAGGGAAAGGCGAAAAGAACCCCGGCGAGGGGAGUGAAAAAGAACCUGAAACCGUGUACGUACAAGCAGUGGGAGCACCUUCGGGUGUGACUGCGUACCUUUUGUAUAAUGGGUCAGCGACUUAUAUUCUGUAGCAAGGUUAACCGUAUAGGGGAGCCGCAGGGAAACCGAGUCUUAACUGGGCGUUAAGUUGCAGGGUAUAGACCCGAAACCCGGUGAUCUAGCCAUGGGCAGGUUGAAGGUUGGGUAACACUAACUGGAGGACCGAACCGACUAAUGUUGAAAAAUUAGCGGAUGACUUGUGGCUGGGGGUGAAAGGCCAAUCAAACCGGGAGAUAGCUGGUUCUCCCCGAAAGCUAUUUAGGUAGCGCCUCGUGAAUUCAUCUUCGGGGGUAGAGCACUGUUUCGGCUAGGGGGUCAUCCCGACUUACCAACCCGAUGCAAACUACGAAUACCGAAGAAUGUUAUCACGGGAGACACACGGCGGGUGCUAACGUCCGUCGUGAAGAGGGAAACAACCCAGACCGCCAGCUAAGGUCCCAAAGUCAUGGUUAAGUGGGAAACGAUGUGGGAAGGCACAGACAGCCAGGAUGUUGGCUUAGAAGCAGCCAUCAUUUAAAGAAAGCGUAAUAGCUCACUGGUCGAGUCGGCCUGCGCGGAAGAUGUAACGGGGCUAAACCAUGCACCGAAGCUGCGGCAGCGACACUAUGUGUUGUUGGGUAGGGGAGCGUUCUGUAAGCCUGCGAAGGUGUGCUGUGAGGCAUGCUGGAGGUAUCAGAAGUGCGAAUGCUGACAUAAGUAACGAUAAAGCGGGUGAAAAGCCCGCUCGCCGGAAGACCAAGGGUUCCUGUCCAACGUUAAUCGGGGCAGGGUGAGUCGACCCCUAAGGCGAGGCCGAAAGGCGUAGUCGAUGGGAAACAGGUUAAUAUUCCUGUACUUGGUGUUACUGCGAAGGGGGGACGGAGAAGGCUAUGUUAGCCGGGCGACGGUUGUCCCGGUUUAAGCAUGUAGGCUGGUUGUCCAGGCAAAUCCGGAUAAUCAAGGCUGAGGUGUGAUGACGAGGCACUACGGUGCUGAAGUAACAAAUGCCCUGCUUCCAGGAAAAGCCUCUAAGCAUCAGGUAACAUUAAAUCGUACCCCAAACCGACACAGGUGGUCAGGUAGAGAAUACCAAGGCGCUUGAGAGAACUCGGGUGAAGGAACUAGGCAAAAUGGUGCCGUAACUUCGGGAGAAGGCACGCUGGUGUGUAGGUGAAGCCCCUGCGGGUGGAGCUGAGACCAGUCGAAGAUACCAGCUGGCUGCAACUGUUUAUUAAAAACACAGCACUGUGCAAACACGAAAGUGGACGUAUACGGUGUGACGCCUGCCCGGUGCCGGAAGGUUAAUUGAUGGGGUUAUCCGUAAGGAGAAGCUCUUGAUCGAAGCCCCGGUAAACGGCGGCCGUAACUAUAACGGUCCUAAGGUAGCGAAAUUCCUUGUCGGGUAAGUUCCGACCUGCACGAAUGGCGUAAUGAUGGCCAGGCUGUCUCCACCCGAGACUCAGUGAAAUUGAACUCGCUGUGAAGAUGCAGUGUACCCGCGGCAAGACGGAAAGACCCCGUGAACCUUUACUAUAGCUUGACACUGAACAUUGAGCCUUGAUGUGUAGGAUAGGUGGGAGGCUUUGAAGCGUGGACGCCAGUCUGCGUGGAGCCAACCUUGAAAUACCACCCUUUAAUGUUUGAUGUUCUAACGUUGGCCCCUGACCGGGGUUGCGGACAGUGUCUGGUGGGUAGUUUGACUGGGGCGGUCUCCUCCCAAAGCGUAACGGAGGAGCACGAAGGUUAGCUAAUCCUGGUCGGACAUCAGGAGGUUAGUGCAAUGGCAUAAGCUAGCUUGACUGCGAGCGUGACGGCGCGAGCAGGUGCGAAAGCAGGUCAUAGUGAUCCGGUGGUUCUGAAUGGAAGGGCCAUCGCUCAACGGAUAAAAGGUACUCCGGGGAUAACAGGCUGAUACCGCCCAAGAGUUCAUAUCGACGGCGGUGUUUGGCACCUCGAUGUCGGCUCAUCACAUCCUGGGGCUGAAGUAGGUCCCAAGGGUAUGGCUGUUCGCCAUUUAAAGUGGUACGCGAGCUGGGUUUAGAACGUCGUGAGACAGUUCGGUCCCUAUCUGCCGUGGGCGCUGGAGAAUUGAGGGGGGCUGCUCCUAGUACGAGAGGACCGGAGUGGACGCAUCACUGGUGUUCGGGUUGUCAUGCCAAUGGCACUGCCCGGUAGCUAAAUGCGGAAGAGAUAAGUGCUGAAAGCAUCUAAGCACGAAACUUGCCCCGAGAUGAGUUCUCCCUGAGACUUUAAGUCUCCUGAAGGAACGUUAAAGACGAUGACGUUGAUAGGCCGGGUGUGUAAGCGCAGC